ensembl:snoRNA
GGCCCCCCAUGAUGGCAGCACUGGGCGCUGAACCCCCUGACGAUGUCUGUGCCCCCCCCAGGGGCCUUGACACCCCGGGGGGGUCUGAGGGGGCC